rnacentral:rRNA from 4 species
UUAAAUUGAAGAGUUUGAUCAUGGCUCAGAUUGAACGCUGGCGGCAGGCCUAACACAUGCAAGUCGAACGGUAGCACAGAGAGCUUGCUCUCGGGUGACGAGUGGC